rnacentral:rRNA from 1 species
UACGGAGGGUGCGAGCGUUGUCCGGAAUCAUUGGGCGUAAAGGGCGCGUAGGUGGCCCGGUCAGUUCGUGGUGAAAGCGCGGGGCUCAACCCUGCGUCGGCCAUGAGUACUGCCGCGGCUGGAGCACUGUAGAGGCAGGCGGAAUUCCGGGUGUAGCGGUGGAAUGCGUAGAGAUCCGGAAGAACACCGGUGGCGAAGGCGGCCUGCUGGGCAGUUGCUGACACUGAGGCGCGACAGCGUGGGGAGCAAACAGG